rnacentral:rRNA from 1 species
GACGAGUGGCGGACGGGUGAGUAAUGUCUGGGAAACUGCCCGAUGGAGGGGGAUAACUACUGGAAACGGUAGCUAAUACCGCAUAAUGUCGCAAGACCAAAGAGGGGGACCUUCGGGCCUCUUGCCAUCGGAUGUGCCCAGAUGGGAUUAGCUAGUUGGUGAGGUAAUGGCUCACCAAGGCGACGAUCCCUAGCUGGUCUGAGAGGAUGACCAGCCACACUGGAACUGAGACACGGUCCAGACUCCUACGGGAGGCAGCAGUGGGGAAUAUUGCACAAUGGGCGCAAGCCUGAUGCAGCCAUGCCGCGUGUGUGAAGAAGGCCUUCGGGUUGUAAAGCACUUUCAGCGGGGAGGAAGGCAAUACGGUUAAUAACCGUGUUGAUUGACGUUACCCGCAGAAGAAGCACCGGCUAACUCCGUGCCAGCAGCCGCGGUAAUACGGAGGGUGCAAGCGUUAAUCGGAAUUACUGGGCGUAAAGCGCACGCAGGCGGUCUGUCAAGUCGGAUGUGAAAUCCCCGGGCUCAACCUGGGAACUGCAUUCGAAACUGGCAGGCUUGAGUCUUGUAGAGGGGGGUAGAAUUCCAGGUGUAGCGGUGAAAUGCGAGAGAUCUGGAGGAAUACCGGUGGCGAAGGCGGCCC